UUGAUCACAUUAAAAACUUUUAAUUAACUCUAAUACACCAAAACUGAAUUUGAACCAGGGACAAGUUCAUCUCAGACUUCAAACAUAACGGAACAAACAAUUAGAUCUAAAUCAUUAAACUCAAUCAUCAAUUGAACUUCAAGUUAAAUCCAACAACAUUACAACCAAAAUGAAGGAUUUAAUGAUUUAGAACCGUUGUAUUGAACUAGCAAGGUCAAAUUGGAUUCACACAGAUACAAGGGAAUAAACUAAGGAAUAGGUCACAAUUAACUUAGACAAGAAUGAAGGAACAUUGAAAAUAAAUCAGCGGCAAACAACAUAACUCCGGGUCAAAUAUUUCAAAUCAAAUCCAUCUCGUAAUUAAACUUAACUGAAUGAACCAAAGUGUUAUGUCAUAUUUUUCUGAUUGUAUAUAGAACUGGUUUUUAUAUCCAAACUAGGACACUAAACUAGAGAAGUAACAUUCAUAAUAAAAAACAAAGAACAACACAAAUCCGAUGAAACCGUGACCUGGAAAACGCGACGAACACCUUAGCCGCUGGUUUUGGGAUGUUGUGUUACUGUAACUCGAACAAAAAGGAGUCGCCUCCAGUAGCUGGUGGUCGGAUUCUUUGUCUGAUCUAUCAGCCACUGGUCGUUUGAGGUCGAAGCGGGACGACCGGCUGGAGGUCGACGGAGCAGCCCAUGGGAUUGGGGUGGUCGACUGAUGUUUGGGUGGUCACUGGUGGUUGUAGAGGAGAUGGCCGCUGGUGGUUGUAGGGCUGGUUGGCAGCAUCGGCUUAGUUUUGUUGUUAGGGUUCUUUGUUCGUUCUCUUCAAGAAGAAGAAGCUCAAGUCUCUUAGGGUUUGAGACUUGAGAGUGACUGAAAAGAAGGNN
rnacentral:lncRNA from 1 species